UACGUAGGGGGCGAGCGUUGUCCGGAUUCAUUGGGCGUAAAGAGCUCGUAGGCGGCUUGGCAAGUCGGGUGUGAAAACUCCAGGCUCAACCUGGAGACGCCACCCGAUACUGCCAUGGCUUGAGUCCGGUAGGGGACCACGGAAUUCCUGGUGUAGCGGUGAAAUGCGUAGAUAUCGGAAGGAACACCUGUGGCGAAAGCGGCUCACUGGACCAUUACUGACGCUGAGGCACGAAAGCUAGGGGAGCAAACAGG
rnacentral:rRNA from 1 species